GAUCCUGGCUCAGGAUGAACGCUAGCUACAGGCUUAACACAUGCAAGUCGAGGGGCAGCAUUUUAGUUUGCUUGCAAACUAAAGAUGGCGACCGGCGCACGGGUGAGUAACGCGUAUCCAACCUGCCGAUAACUCAGGGAUAGCCUUUCGAAAGAAAGAUUAAUACCUGAUGGCAUAGGAUUAUCGCAUGAUAAUUCUAUUAAAGAAUUUCGGUUAUCGAUGGGGAUGCGUUCCAUUAGG
rnacentral:rRNA from 1 species